GACGCGAAAGCCGAAAAGCGAAUAGAGUAGGCA
rnacentral:ncRNA from 1 species